AGCCUGACUGCAGUAAUGGACCACGAAAAAACUAUUUGGAUAAAAGAGGAAACAAGUGAGAUAUCAGGUUCACCAGGUUCCAUUGUCCAGGUAUACCCCUGUAGUGUGAAAAUAAAGGAAGAACCACAGGAGACUGGGAAUCAAGAGUUACUUCAAGAUCCAUUAAAAAUUGAGGCUCCAUUUUACAACACAAAGGAAGAUCCAGGACUGAAAU